rnacentral:lncRNA from 1 species
GAAGUUAACUUUAGCUAGCAAAUUUGGAUGUGGCCUUGGAUUGUUACAUUGGGAUUCAUCGACUUGCUAAGGUUAUACAUUACAUCUAUUCUGAAGUCUGGAACUGUUUUAUUAUGGAGAUUUUUUCUCAGUUUCGCAUGCUGAUAAUUGUUGGAAAUGAAAAAAGCAUGGUAUAUUUUAUCCUAAUUUCAGUAUGCUUGCUGAUCCUCAGUAUGUUAUACAUGCUUUAUCCUACCAAAUGGAUUCUAUAACUAAUUUUUCUCUUACUGCUAAGCCUUCAAUAGUUAAAUUUUUCUUUGCCUGGGAGUCCCUCUUUCGCUCAUACAAUAAACUCAAUAUCGGUGUCUGCAGAAGAGGUGAGAGUCAUAUCAGUGCUGUUGGUCUAGUUUGUGACAGUAAUGAAGGAUGGACCACAGGGGUUUGCUGGUAAUCUUGGCAUGGGAGAGGUACUAACUGAAAAUGCUGAGGGUUUGUCUUAUAGCCUCCAUUUAGCCGGGAAUAAGGUUAUUAAGAAGCUGAAAAAUGAAAUAGCUUCAGCAAUAUAUAGAAGUUACUUUGAUGAUCAAAGUUUAGAAGUAGAAAAAAGAAAUAAUGUAAAUAUUGAUUAUGAAUUUGUGAAGAUACAUCUAAUAAUUGGUAAAGCCAAAAUGAAAUUCACCUCACAAUUUUUCUGUAGUUCCUUCGAAAGAUUUCCACUUUUGUAUUUGGUCAAUAGAUUUUCACUUUUGUUUUUGGUCAAUAGAUUUCCACUUUUCUUUAUGGUCACUAGUUUUCCACUUUUAAUUUACAAUGAAGUUUUAUUUUCUCUUUAUUAUGUUGAAAAUUAGUUUCACUAAUAUGGCUCGACAGUUUACUUCACAUUGGGAGUGAAUGAUUACAAUCUAAAACACGUAGUUUCUUCUAUAAAUCCAGUUUCCAGGUAAAGAAAAGGAAAAAACUUUGUUUACACAAUCAAUUGAAAUGUUGAUGCCUGUAAAAGAAUAGUAAGCAGAAACAUUAUAUAAGUGACAACAAUAACUUCUUUUUUUGCUCCUUUUGGCAGUUCAAGACAUGAAUGCAGGAUUUUAAAGAAGACAAUAUUUUUGCUAUGGCACUGGCUGGUUCACUUUGCAUACCUUGCCUUAUAACCCAU